GAUGAACGCUGGCGGCGUGCCUAAUACAUGCAAGUCGAGCGAACAGACGAGGAGCUUGCUCCUCUGACGUUAGCGGCGGACGGGUGAGUAACACGUGGAUAACCUACCUAUAAGACUGGGAUAACUUCGGGAAACCGGAGCUAAUACCGGAUAAUAUAUUGAACCGCAUGGUUCAAUAGUGAAAGUCGGUUUUGCUGUCACUUAUAGCUUGCUCCGCGCCGCAUUAGCUAGUUGGUAAGGUAACGGAUUACCAAGGCAACGAUGCGUAGCCGACCUGAGAGGGAGAUCGGCCACACUGGAACUGAGACACGUCCCAGACUCCUACGGGAGGCAACAGUAGGGAAUCUUCCGCAAUGGGCGAAAGCCUGACGGUGCAACGCGGCGUGAGUGAUGAAGGUCUUCGGAUCGUAAAGCUCUGUUAUUAGGGAAGAACAAAUGUGUAAGUAACUAUGCACGUCUUGACGGUACCUAAUGAGAAAGCCACGGCUAACUACGUG
rnacentral:rRNA from 1 species